UGCUGGGGGCAUGCAGGACCCCACCUUUAGGAAAAAAGAAUAGGCAUGAUGAUGCUUAUUUCUAUCUGUACCUGAAUGGUGGAUUUAUUGCCAAAGAACAUGGUGGUAUCAUGAGAUUCAUUCAAGUUUCUUGCUUAGGGGCAUCUCCAUCUUGUCCAUCUAGAUUGCUUAAAGCUAAAGCUGCAGCAGAGCUGCUGUUUUGAGAGAAUUACCAGAGAAUGGGCUUCAUCUGUAUAUGUUGUCGAUGUUGCCGGUGCAAUUGUUGUGGCCUUGAAAGAUGAUGGAUGAGCAUGGGAAAAGUUUAUCAGCUUGGUGGG